rnacentral:rRNA from 1 species
AUUGAACGCUGGCGGCAUGCUUUACACAUGCAAGUCGAACGGCAGCGCGGGCUUCGGCCUGGCGGCGAGUGGCGAACGGGUGAGUAAUGCAUCGGAACGUGCCCAGUAGUGGGGGAUAGCCCGGCGAAAGCCGGAUUAAUACCGCAUACGACCUGAGGGUGAAAGCGGGGGGCCGAAAGGCCUCGCGCUAUUGGAGCGGCCGAUGUCGGAUUAGCUAGUUGGUGGGGUAAAGGCUUACCAAGGCGACGAUCCGUAGCUGGUCUGAGAGGACGACCAGCCACAUUGGGACUGAGACACGGCCCAGACUCCUACGGGAGGCAGCAGUGGGGAAUUUUGGACAAGGGGGGCAACCCUGAUCCAGCCAUGCCGCGGGCGGGAAGAAGGCCUUCGGGUUGUAAACCGCUUUUGUUCGGGAAGAAAUCCUCUGGGCUAAUACCCCGGGGGGAUGACGGUACCGGAAGAAUAAGCACCGGCUAACUACGU